rnacentral:lncRNA from 1 species
UAUGGAACCAAAAAAGAGCCCGCAUUGCCAAGUCAAUCCUAAGCCAAAAGAACAAAGCUGGAGGCAUCAUGCUACCUGACUUCAAACUAUACUACAGGGCUACAGUAACCAAAACAGCAUGGUACUGGUACCAAAACGGAGAUAUAGAUCAACGGAACAGAACAGAGCCCUCAGAAAUAACGCUGCGUAUCUACAACUAUCUGAUCUUUGACAAACCUGAGAAAAACAAGCAAUGGGGAAAGGAUUCCCUAUUUAAUAAAUGGUGCUGGGAAAACUGGCUAGCCAUAUGUAGAAAGCUGAAACUGGAUCCCUUCUUUACACCUUAUACAAAAAUUAAUUCAAGGUGGAUUAAAGACUUACAUGUUAGACCUAAAACCAUAAAAACCCUAGAAGAAAACAUAGGCAUUACCAUUCAGGACAUAGGCAUGGGCAAGGACUUCAUGUCUAAAACACCAAAAGCAAUGGCAACAAAAGACAAAAUUGACAAAUGGGAUCUAAUUAAACUAAAGAGCUUCUGCACAGCAAAAGAAACUACCAUCAGAGUGAACAGGCAACCUACAAAAUGGGAGAAAAUUUUUGCAACCUACUCAUCUGACAAAGGGUUAAUAUCCAGAAUCUACAAUGAACUUAAACAAAUUUACAAGAAAGAAACAAACAACCCGAUCAAAAAGUGGGCGAAGGAUAUGAACAGACACUUCUCAAAAGAAGACAUUUAUGCAGCCAAAAGACACAUGAAAAAAUGCUCAUCAUCACUGGCCAUCAGAGAAAUGCAAAUCAAAACCACAAUGAGAUACCAUCUCACACCAGUUAGAAUGGCAAUCAUUAAAAAGUCAGGAAACAACAGGUGCUGGAGAGGAUGUGGAGAAAAAGGAACACUUUUACACUGUUGGUGGGACUGUAAACUAGUUCAACCAUUGUGGAAGUCAGUGUGGCGAUUCCUCAAGGAUCUAGAACUAGAAACGCCAUUAAACCUCUUUUCUUUAUAAAUUACCUAGUCUCAGGUAUUUAUCUAGAGCAGUGCAAGAACAGACUAAUACAACACACCAGGCAAAUGCAAAAUAAAAGAGAGCUCUGUGGCAAAACUGACAUCAGAAACAAACAGAAUUUAGACUGAAGAGUAAUACAAACAGCACAGAAGUUUUUUGCAUACUGAUAAAAGAUAUAUUCUACCAGUCUAUGUAGUAGAAGUCAUGAUCUGUAAGAAAAUUGCUUUAAAAUAUUGAAAGGAAAGUCUGACAGUGAUAUAGGAAAACUGAAAAACUCACAAUUGUAGUAAAAAAAUGUUAAGGCAUCUCUGUUAGAAGUUGACAAGUCCAGUAAGUCAAAAUUAAAUCAAGUUAAAGAUUUGAAUAAAAUAAUGAGCAUUCUGGGUUAAGUAGAUGUGUAAUGAAGAGGUUAUAACUUGUUUCAGUACAUUAAAAAAUAUCUGACAUUUCUGAGUACUCACUCUGUAUGAGGUACUCACUCUUCUAAGUGCUUGGUGCGUAGCUUAACUUGUUUCCUCCUCAUAGAUUCUCAUGAAACAGGUGGUAGGCAGUUAGUGAGGGAACAAGACAUAAUUACUUGCAGGUAGCUAAAAGCAAAACAAAUGGGGCCAAAUAGUUUAGCUCAAGGACCCACCCCUUAGUGGAAAGGAACUGUUGCAACAGGCUGCAAAAAUAAAGACAAUUUAGACGUUCUAGAUUAGGCACAGAUAAGAAUGUAACAAAGAAGAAAUCAACCACAACUGGUUUAAUCCAAGAUGGCCAGAAACUUGACUGGCUGUGGACCCUUGACUGCAUUAUGCCCCUAUUACUAUAAGACUUCCACGGGGAAACCUCCCAAUCCCAUCAUGCAUCUGAUGCCAUGUCAAUUCUGGAUUAACCAUAUUUAGUAAAGAAAAAAGUGGCAAUCCAAUUCUGGGAACUGCCUGCCCAUUUCCCAGAAAAUCCCUCCUCUUAUGAUGGAAUAUUCCACACCUUCAUUAUGCUUAUCUGUAUAGUAUGUGAGUCCUGGCCAUAUUGGGUUCAGCUUAUUCUUUUGAGCACACUCACAAUCCUCUCUUGAGUAUGUACUUGCUUUCACGCUGCAAUAAAU